rnacentral:rRNA from 1 species
GACGAACGCUGGCGGCGUGCCUAACACAUGCAAGUCGAGCGAUGAAGCCCUUCGGGGUGAAUUAGCGGCGGACGGGUGAGUAACACGUGGGUAACCUGCCUUAUAGAGGGGGAUAGCCUUCCGAAAGGAAGAUUAAUACCGCAUGAAAUGUUUUUAUCGCAUGGUAGAAACAUCAAAGGAGUAAUCCGCUAUAAGAUGGACCCGCGGCGCAUUAGCUAGUUGGUGAGGUAACGGCCCACCAAGGCGACGAUGCGUAGCCGACCUGAGAGGGUGAUCGGCCACAUUGGAACUGAGACACGGUCCAGACUCCUACGGGAGGCAGCAGUGGGGAAUAUUGCGCAAUGGGGGAAACCCUGACGCAGCAACGCCGCGUGAAUGAAGAAGGCCUUAGGGUUGUAAAGUUCUGUUUUCUGGGACGAUAAUGACGGUACCAGAGGAGGAAGCCACGGCUAACUACGUG